AUCUGCAGAUGGAUGUGUGUGUCAGAGCCGGGUCUCCGCAGGGUUUUCCCACCGACGAAAAAAAAAAAAAGCUUUGAAAUUGGGCUAUACAGCGAGAGGAGGAGGCGGCAAUUACUGUGAGCAAAAGUACUUUAGUGUGUGCUAAGAACUUCAUGGAGGAUGAGGUCCGUGUCCAACCGGAGUACGGUCGAUCUCGCACCGUGGGCUGUGACUUCCAGGUUUGCGUGGAAAAGUUGCGGAGACGUUAAAUCACGCGUCAAAACGGGCUGUUUGUGGUGCAGAGCAUUACAUGUCGAGAUGGUGCAGGAGCACGAUUACAACAGCCGUCCAGUCCCAGUGCUCUUGCUGAGGCAUGG